rnacentral:rRNA from 1 species
UUCCGUAGGUUGAACCUGCGGAAGGAUCAUUAUUGAAUUAAUUGGCAGGGUUGUCGCUGGCCUUACUCAGGCAUGUGCACGCCUUGUUCAUCCAAUUCUUCAACCCCUGUGCACCUUUCAUAGGUUGGUAGCGGCUUUCUGCCUAGUGUGGAUUGCUUAAACCCAGCCUAUGUAAUUUAUACAAACGCUUCAGUUUAGAAUGUCAUAUUUGCAAUAUAAUGCAUAUAAUACAACUUUCAGCAACGGAUCUCUUGGCUCUCGCAUCGAUGAAGAACGCAGCGAAAUGCGAUAAGUAAUGUGAAUUGCAGAAUUCAGUGAAUCAUCGAAUCUUUGAACGCACCUUGCGCUCCUUGGUAUUCCGAGGAGCAUGCCUGUUUGAGUGUCAUGGUAUUCUCAACCCUCCAAAUCUUUUUUAGAUGAGGAUGGGCUUGGAUGUGGAGGUCUUGUCGGUGAACCUUAGGGAUCGUCGACUCCUCUGAAAUGCAUUAGCAUCAAUUUUACUGAGUGUGCUUCAGUGUGAUAAUUAUCUACGCUGUAGUCAUAAAGUAUAUUAUAUUGUUGCUUCUAAUCGUCUUCUUGUGAGACAAUUCUUGACAAUCUGACCUCAAAUCAGGUAGGACUACCCGCUGAACUUAAGCAUAUCAAUAAGCGGAGGAA